GGAAGUCUCACCCCCUCAAGUGGAUUCUCUGUACUGUAGCUGGCUCAAGAAAGGAGAAGGGGCUUUGUCAAGUAAAACUGGCUGAUUGCUUUCCCUUCAGUCAUCAAACUAACUAACAGUAGAAGGAAAACCAGGCUUUUGAUUUUGGACAAACUCAUAUAUGGAGAGAACCACUUUCAAAAACACAGUUAAAAGAGCCUAUUGAUAACUCCUCUGGGAGUUAGUCCUUAUACAUCCAUCUGUGGGACAUGCACAGGCAGAAUUGUGGAAUAUCACCUCAAAAAAGAAAAAUAAGAAAGCAAGAUCAGGAGAAAUGAGACUGGAGCAGAACUGUCAUGCGCUGAUCAUCUCUGUGUGGAAUGCAAAAAUGGAUAUGGAUAUUAAGCUCCAGGAGAUGUUAUUUGGGAAAGGUGACUGCAAGAAGUCAAGCUAUUCAGAGACUAUACCUGAUCACGAACAUUGUUCUACCUGUAAUCGUGCUGAGAGAAUAAUAUACUGGUGAGGGUGUGAGGGUGAAAGUAUUAUCACAUUUGCAAAGUAUAAUGCAAUUUCUCUCUCAUGGAGUAAAACUCUCCCUCUCUCUCUCUCUGUCUGUGUCUCUCUCUCUUUCCUACCUCCACUGCUCUAGUAGACCUUGACAUUCUGAAACUGGCCCAACUGUCCCAUAGAACUGAUGUUUAUGGUUUCUUUGAAUAAACACAGAAAUUGAUCCUCCUUGUCUUAAAACUUGAGAAAGUUACAUUUGUCUUAUCUGAGUUCUUCUCUCAGGAAACCAACCAUCAGGCCUCCCAGGUAGUAUCAAGGAGCUGAAACUUACCAGAUAAAGACAUCUGGACAAUGAGAAGCCAGACUACUUACCCAUCAUGAUUGCCUAAUUGACAACUUGCUUCCUGUUGACCACUUCCUCCUCCUCACCUCCUCUUCUUUACCCCUCCCUAAUUCCUGUUUCCUUACACCUGGUUACAUUUCUU
rnacentral:lncRNA from 1 species